UGGGUAGCUGGUCUGAGAGGAUGACCAGCCACACUGGAACUGAGACACGGUCCAGACUCCUACGGGAGGCAGCAGUCGGGAAUCUUGGACAAUGGGGGAAACCCUGAUCCAGCCACGCCGCGUGGGUGAUGGAGGCCUUCGGGUUGUAAAGCCCUGUCAGAAGGGAAGAAAUGGUCUUGACCUAAUACGUCCGGGCCUUGACGGUACCUUCAGAGGAAGCACCGGCUAACUACGUGCCAGCAGCCGCGGUAAGACGUAGGGUGCGAGCGUUGUCCGGAAUCACUGGGCGUAAAGGGCGCGUAGGCGGCUUGGUAAGCGUGCGGUGAAAGCUCGGGGCUCAACCCCGAGUCUGCCGUGCGAACUGCCGAGCUGGAGCACGGUAGAGGCACAUGGAAUUCCGGGUGUAGCGGUGGAAUGCGUAGAGAUCCGGAAGAACACCGGUGGCGAAGGCGGCCUGCUGGGCAGUAGCUGACGCUGAUGCGCGACAGCGUGGGGAGCAAACAGGAUUAGAUACCCUGGUAGUCCACGCCGUAAACGAUGGGCACUAGGUGCUUGGGGGAGCGACCCUCUGAGUGCCGGCGCUAACGCAUUAAGUGCCCCGCCUGGGGAGUACGGCCGCAAGGCUG
rnacentral:rRNA from 1 species